CUGCUCCGUUCGCGGCGACCUGGUUGAUAUGCUCGGUCGACUCGUGACUGAGAAGAAGGGCCAGUUCGAUCACAUUCUGAUCGAGACCACGGGUUUGGCGAAUCCGGCUCCCAUCAUUCAGACCUUUUAUCUGGAGCCCGACCUGCUGGACACGCUGCGCCUUGACGGCGUCGUCACCCUCGUGGACGCAAAGCAUGCCAUGAUGCACCUCGACGAGAAGAAGCCCGAAGGCGUAGUGAACGAGGCCCUCGAACAGGUUGCGUUCGCCGACCGUCUCGUCCUCAACAAGACCGACCUGGUGAACCAGUCGGAGCUCCUCAGCAUUGAGAACCGUGUGCGCACCAUCAACAACCUUGCCAGCAUCCAGCGUGCAGAGAAGGCCAACGUGGAUCUCGACUUUGUGCUCGGGGUCGGCGGUUUCGACCUCGACCGUGUCGAGGACGUCAUCAUCGGCGAAAAGAAGGAGGAGGAGCAUGGCCACUCACACUCACACUCACAC
rnacentral:lncRNA from 1 species